rnacentral:tRNA from 1 species
GGCGCUGUGGCUUAGUUGGUUAAAGCGCCUGUCUAGUAAACAGGAAGUCCUGGGUUCAAAUCCCACCGGUUCCU